rnacentral:rRNA from 1 species
AGUGAACGCUGGCGGUAGGCCUAACACAUGCAAGUCGAACGGCAGCACAGUAAGAGCUUGCUCUUACGGGUGGCGAGUGGCGGACGGGUGAGGAAUACAUCGGAAUCUACUUUUUCGUGGGGGAUAACGUAGGGAAACUUACGCUAAUACCGCAUACGACCUACGGGUGAAAGCAGGGGAUCUUCGGACCUUGCGCGAUUGAAUGAGCCGAUGUCGGAUUAGCUAGUUGGCGGGGUAAAGGCCCACCAAGGCGACGAUCCGUAGCUGGUCUGAGAGGAUGUUCAGCCACACUGGAACUGAGACACGGUCCAGACUCCUACGGGAGGCAGCAGUGGGGAAUAUUGGACAAUGGGCGCAAGCCUGAUCCAGCCAUACCGCGUGGGUGAAGAAGGCCUUCGGGUUGUAAAGCCCUUUUGUUGGGAAAGAAAAGCAGCGGGUUAAUACCCCGCUGUUCUGACGGUACCCAAAGAAUAAGCACCGGCUAACUUCGUG